rnacentral:lncRNA from 1 species
GGAAAAGAGAUACAUAGUUGGCUUACAAUCGCCACUUCACACAAUUACAUGAAUAAAACAUUACAUCAUCCAGAUACAAACAAGGUCCGACUACGGAACCAAAAUAAAAGAAGAACCCCAAAUGCGACAAAGGUCCCCGAUCGACCCCAACUGGGCUCCACUACUGAUCAACUAGAACGAAACAACAUAAAGGACAAGAUCUUCAACGAGCUCCUCCUUGAGCUUGGUUGCGUCAUCUGCACGGACUCAUCGGCACCUGUAAACUGGUUUUGGAAGUAUCUAUGAGCCACGGGGACUCAGCAAUCUCGCACCCUCGCGAUCAAGAAUAUUUAAGCUUAUAGGUAAGGCAAGGUAAAAAUGUGGAGCUGCAGCAAGCGACUAGCAAAUAUGGUGGCUAACAUACGCAAAUGAGAGCGAGAAGAGAAGGCAAAGCACGGUCGAUAGAAGUAUGAUCAAGAAGUGAUCCUAGAACAACCUACGUCAAGCAUAACUCCAACACCGUGUUCAUUUCCCGGACUCCGCCGGAAAGAGACCAGCACGGUUACACACGCGGUUGACUCAUCUUAAUUAAGUUAAGGUUCAAGUUAUCUACAACCGGACAUUAACAAAUUCCCAUCUGCCCAUAACCGCGGGCACGCCUUUCGAAAGUUCAAAUCCCUGUAGGGGUGUCACAACUUAGCCCAUGACAAGCUCUCACGGUCAACGAAGGAUUAGACCUCCUCCCGAGACAUUCCGAUCAGACUCGGUAUCCCGGUAUAACAAGACAUUUCGACAGGGUAAAACUAAACCAGCAACACCGCCCGAAUGUGCCGACAAAUCCCGAUAGGAGCUGCACAUAUCUCUUUCUCAGGGCACACUCAGAUGAGCCAAACGUCGGGUAGGCCAGCCCAGAGUUGCCCCUGGUAGCCCCGGACAUCGCUCAGUUGGACCAACACUCAAAGGAGCACUUGCCCGGGGGGUAAAAUAAUGAUGACCCUCAGGAGCGCGACUCGCAAGGGAAAAGAAAAGGCUAGGCGGCAAAUGGUAAAACCAAUGUUGGGCAUUGCUGGAAGAGCUUUACUUAAGGCAAACUGUCAAGGGGUUCCCAUUAUUACCCAACCGCGUAAGGAACGCAAAAUCCGGGAACAUAACACCGAUAUGAUGGAAACUAGGGCGGCAAGAGUGGAACAAAACACCAGGCACAAGGCCGAGCCUUCCACCCUUUACCAAGUAUAUAGAUGCAUUAAUUAAAUAAGAUAUAAUGUGAUAUCCCAAUAAGUAAACAUGUUCCAACAAGGAACAACAUCUCCAUGUUCCAACAAGGAACAAACUUCAAUCUUCACCUGCAACUAACAACGCUAUAAGAGGGGCUGAGAAAAGCGGUAACAUAGCCAAUCAACGGUUUGCUAGGACUAGGUGGGUUAGAGGCUUAGUUCAACAAUAUGGGAGGCAUGAUAGGCAAGUGGUAGGUAUCGCAGCAUAGGCAUAGCAAAAGAGCGAGCAACUAAGCAAACAAAGAUAGAAGUGAUUUCGAGGGUAUGAUCAUCUUGCCUGAAAUCCCGCAAGGAAGAAGAACGAGUCCAUGAAGAAGACAAACGGACGUAGAUGAACGGGUCCUCACAAACACGACGUUAACGGAAACAACCCGAAGAAGCAACACCGGAAACAAGCACACAACAUAGUAAACAACCACGACAUGAAUAUGGCAUGAUGCAGAAUCAAGUAUGAUGCAUGUCCGGUUUAAUGAAGCAUGGCAUGGAAAAGUGCAACAAACAACACUACAAAUUAAGUGGAGCUUAAUAUGCAACGAGUUGCAUAUUGACGAAACACCACGACAAGUUAUUUAGUUCGAUCUCGUUUAUGUACCCAACAAUAUUAAAUGUUGUUAAACAAGGCAAGAGGGUGAAGAAAAAGAAAACUACCUAUCUAGGCAAGUUUAAAUGAGGCCGGAAGCAACGAACAACAUUUCCGGUAAAUCCCCAUAUGCCUUAGUAAUUUAUCAACAACAAUUUAAACAUUUUAAUUGUUGUUAUCACGAUGCAGAUGACAUGAACAAGUUUAUGCAAUUUUUAUUAAAAGUUGACAAGAGCAUUAUGAAGCAUUUGUCACUGUGGUGGAAAGGAAAGGGGUGCCACGGCAACGAUAAUGAAAACGGUGCCAUGGCAACAUUCCGGUUCCGGUAACUCGAUUGACAUACCGAUACAAAGGGGAAGUGUGCGGAUGCGUGCAAAAGAUGGUGGGACGCUCCCGGAUUCCGGGUGUCCCACGCGAUGACGGUAACAAGGCAAAAAAGGGGCAACGUGCAUCGACAAUUCGAACACGGUUCAAACAUGAGCAUCUCAAACAUCGCAAGCAUUCGAUCACGGAUGUCGUCUCGAUGGUUAUACCUUCGAAGCGUGUGUUUUCGGAGCGGUUCGGGUCAAGCGGUGUAGUCGUUCACGAUCGUCGUGGGAAGUAGUGGUACUCGGCGAUGGUAGAGGAAGUAGUUGUUCACAUGACGGUAGUCGAACUUGACGGUUCCGUUACACGGGUCUUCGGCAAUGGUAGUGGUACCCAUUUUGUAGUCCUGCACAUUCCGUAGACGUUCGAAGUCACGACGAGGAUCUUGACAUCCACGGUUCUUCGAGGGUCAACGGUACAUGUUCUGUAGAAGUUCGGGCGGUGGUAGUGGUACACGUUUAACAUCGACGGUAGUUGUCACGGUUCGUAGACGAACUUGGUGUAUCCGUGCAGUGGUCGAACUUGAGGUGGUCCCGGACCGGCUGGACUUGGCGCAUCCGACAACAAAAGUAUGCAAACGGGUUCGGUGGUGACUAUGAGGAAUCCAACUAUGUGGCACUCGGCAUCGAGGUCCCGCAGCUCAACAGCGACAGUAGGCAGGCCCUAACAGAGACGAAACAAGGCGGACAUAGGCGGAGGAGAACGCGACGAGGCGGGCGGUCGCGGCAGCGGCUCGCUCGCCGGCAACUGCUGGAGACGGAGGUCGGGCAGAUGGAGCUUCUACUCCGGCGAUGCAGCGGCGCAGGGAAUGGAGGGACGUGCUGCUCCGGGCGCUCGACGGCGUCUCCAUUGAGAACUGAGUCGAGGCAACGGCUCAGCGGCCAUGAGUUGGGCUCCUGUUACAGAGAACAAGAGAGAUGAGAGGUGGAGGUGGGAAGGAGAAGGAGGAAGAGGUGCGAGGGAAGGGGCCUUGGAGGUUGAGGUCGGCGGGAACGGCGCGCAGGCUGAUCCGGGCGGAGGUAUGCGGGACCCCGCCGACGGCGUGGCCUGAGACGACGGCGCCAUGGGGAUUGGUCCCCUGGACGCAUCCUGCGAUGCUGGAAGAAGCAACAGCGGGGUUUGUGGAGAGGCGAGGUGGAGGAGGAGCUGGCGGCGCAAGUAGAACCAGAGGGAGAGGGUCGAGGGAAUCGGUUGGAGCACGGGGAUCGAGCGGAUGGGGUGCUGCGAGGGAGAUGGUUCUCGGGCUCCUGGCGGCGCUGGUGGGAGCGAGAGGGAGGAGAGGAUCGGGUUAGGUUAGCAGCGGAACUGGUGGGCCGGCGCGAGAGGCCCAGGUGGGCUCGCUGAUGGGCUUAGAGGUAAUUGGCCGGCCUGGCUCCCUCUUCUCACUCCUCUUCUCACCCUUUUCAAAACAGAAAAAAUAAAGAGAAAGAAAAAGGGGAGAAAAGGAAGGUUAGAGAAAGAGUUUGGGCACGGGGAUAAUUUUCACGGACUCAGAAAAAUGUGCACGGUCCGGGAAAAUAGAAAAAGUUCAAGUUUGAAAGAUUAAAUUCAAAUUCCUUUGCAUUUAAUUCAAAAGGUUUGAACUAGGAUAGGUUUUUUCGAAGUGCCCAAAAAUGUUGAGAAAUUAGGCGGAGCUCCGAAAAAUGAUGAAAGGACAUGUGGCAAAGUUAGAGGCCAAGAGUUGAAAUAAUAAAAGGCAUUGGGAUUUUUGCAAGUGUGUUAAGGUAAUUCCACAUAAUUGGAAUAAUUACUAUAGCUCUCUAAAUAUCGAGAGGAUAAGUUGUAAAGAGAAUCACCAUGUGAAUUCCCUCGAUUUAAAUGGAUCAAAGAUCCAUACCAUUUGUUUAGUUGAGUUUUAAAACAAGUUGCAUAAUGACAUGAUGCAAUGCACAUGAUGCAAAGAUGAAAUGCAGCGGACCAAACAAAACACAUGACGAAACCCGGAAACCCUGGAAGGCAACUGAAGCUCCGGUCUUGGGGCAUUACAACACUCCACCACUACGAGAGGAUCUCGUCCCGAGAUCUAGGAUGGCACCGGAGGGAUAAACGGAAGAGAAAUAGAAGAGGUAAAACUAAGUUGCUUCUUUGACAAAUGAGUGAAACCACGAGCCUUGAGAGGUUGAACAAAUUGAAAGAAAGAAUGCAACGAGAAAGAGCGAAGUUGAAAGCACUCCGUUAGAAAAAAGAACAAGGAACAACAACACACUGCCUCCGGAACUAAUGAAUGAAUGAAACAAGGGGUAAGAAAGAUCUCAGACAGCACUCCGUUUGAGAAGAGAUGAAAGGCUUGAUAAGGCGAAAAGAGCUAGAGCAAAAAGGACACACCACUCCGGUUAAAUGGAUAAACCAAGAAAAGAACACGAUCCUGACAGAACGAAAAGAUGGGUUGAAGAGAGCAACAUCACAAAGCCUCCGGAACAAAAUUAAGAAUAGAAUGGAAUGAACGAAGGGAAACAAGAUCUUGAGGGAGCACGCUUACAACAAAUGCUAGAACGGAGUUGUUGGAAAACCAACAACGAAAAGAAUAAGCUUGAUAUGGUCUUAUGGAAUACAUCUCAAAUUAUGAGGUGAUAACCUGCCACUCACGGGAAAAGAAUUGAUUGGAUUUAUAUGAACAAGGAGACGAGAAACUUAUCACCGGAAGGAUACAUGAAGAACUUGGGUCAUUAAUGAGCACCAUAACAACAAUCCUUAGGGAAGGCUUUAGGUGAAAUAUAACCCAAUAUAAUUCCAACGAAGAGGUUGAUGGAUUUAACAUAUCUCAUUCUUAACAACAAUCGAAUCAUGAAACAUGAACUCAGAUUAUCAAGAAUGACACAAUACCAUCUCCAAUGAUACGGAAGAAAGAAUUGCACUCUGGAUUACAAUAUGAAGAAAGCUUGAGCUUGCUAGAAAUGAAUCUCGAUGAAAACUUCGAGAAGGAAUUAAAUCCUUGAUGAAUCACCAUGUCGAGCCUUCAUGAAAACUCCAGUAAAAAAAGAAUGAUCAAACGAAAUGGAGGGUUAAAAGAAUAAGGUUGAAGCCUUGCAAUGAUUAGAUGGACCUUCGAGAUGAUAUAUUUGAGAGAGCUUGGAACUCCGGAAAAGAAAAGAUGAAACAAUAGAAACCGAGAAUUUGGUGAACCUCCGGAAUAAGGAAUUAAAUCACUUGGAUGAAACAAUAAUAAGAAUUACAUUAUGCUUAUCCUUCACCAAUUCAAAUUGAUGACAAGCAAUGGAUUUUUGGCAUACUACUUAUUCUCGUAGAAAGAAUUAAGAUAGAUAUAGAGUCGACUUGGAAAAGGUCUUCAACGAACCACCGGUCGGGAUUGAAAAGAAUGAAUUAAUUGAUACGGAAGAGAGAUCUUAAACGAACCACCGUAAGAAUUGAAAAGAGCGUAUAAAGCAUGAAGACACACCAGGAAGGAUUAGCAAAUAAACGAAAAUGCUUGAGAGAAUUUAGAUAUAAGAGAACGAAGGGAUCACGAACUGAUUAGAGAUUACAUGAAUGAAGCACCGUUUGAUAGGAGAAUGAUAACUGACAGCUGAGAAUGAAUAAACCUGAAUUGAUGGACUCCAGAUAACAAACUGAGAAGACUCUUGAAUUGCUCCGGAUAUGUGAAAAUAAUUCUCAUGAUCAAAACAAUUACGAGAGGAUGGCAACAAGCUAGAAUCACGAAUCUUGAAGAGAAUGGAGCAAGAUUAAAGAGAAACUCUUCUUCGGUCUUCAAAAUCCGAGAAUGACGACGAGAAACACCACCAUGAAUUGUUGAGGCACACCGGAAGAAUCAAAAGCGAAGAGAUUGAGCCAACGAUGAAAAGAAAUUGAAAGAUCUUGGAGAAAGGCAUUUGACUGAUGAAAAAUUCAUUCUUAUGUCAAACUUCAAAAAGAAUUUAGGAUAGCUCCGGGAAAAUAGAAGAGUCAGGUAAGAUCCUGGAAAAGACCUGUGGGUUAGGGCCCACUCAAAAGAUACACCGUUGAACUAUUUAAAAGAGAAAACACCGGUUGAGUUAAAUGGCUUGAAUGGGAUAACAACCUCGAACUAGGUUGAACUGAUCUUGAAUGAAAAGACGAGCCUUCUAAGGUAUCUUGAGCACUCCGGGACAAAAUGAUAUCGAGAGGUGAACGAUUAAGAAUUGCGCCGGCAUGAGAAAGCCUUGAAAUGAGGAAAGGAAUAUGAUCAACAAAGCUUGAAUUGGUUCCACCGGAGAAGAAAAGAACGAGGAAUGACGAACUAGAAGCUCCGUUAGAAUCUUCAUGAGAAUCACCGGAUAAGAAUAUUGAUAGAAAAGAAUGGAGAGACUUCCAUAAUAAAAUGGAUAUUUGAUAAAGAAAUCCGAGUCCUCGAAGAAAAGGGGUGGGUGGGUGGGAAAACAAAGGCAACUUGGGAUGGAAGAAAACGACACCGUUGAGAAAGCUGACAUUGGAUCUUGCGGAUGUUGAAAUGUUCGGAUCCACUAGAAGAGAAGCACACCGAUUGAAAAGAAUUGACAUGACAAACUUGAUGAUCGAGAAGGACUAGUAUUCACAUAGGAAUAUGAGAACACCAUUUAGACAAGGGAUGGAAUCAACAUUUGACUUUGAAGCAACUCGAAUACCACAACUCAAAACAAAACAAGGAUUGGCUUGCAGAAUAAGCCGGAACAAACAUAUGAUAGAGAUUUCGUCCGAAGUUUUCGUGGUGGGGCCUACACGGGCUCGAUCGUACAGCACCAUCAUGUACAAGGCAGUGCACAUGACAUACGAAGCAUCCCCGAGUCGGCAUAGCCAAGGACUCUUUAAGACACAACGAGACCACUGUAAAACCGGCCGUGAAUAGGCGGACCACUAGACUCGAACCCCAAUUUCAUAUCAUACAUCUGUCGGAAAGAUAUCCUAAGAGCUACUUGAAUUCCCACUUAUAAACUCCCAAAAUUUUCCGGUUAUGCAAUCAGGUGUUGGGGAUACAGGGGAAGCAUAAUAUCUCACCCAAAACUAGCAAAUCCUACAUCCAGCUGUAUCCAUCCUUCAACACAUAACCAAGAAACCUUCGGAAAUCAUUUACCUCAACCUUCAAAAAGCAUCCGUUAUACGAGUUAUCGCGAUACUCCAGAACUCCCGCCCCAGUACUGGGUGGCGUCGAGGUUAUCUCACCAACGAACUGCAUAAAAGAGAUUUUUGAUGUCGGCAUACUAAACUCAGGUAUUCCAGAACUGUAACGAUAAAAUUAUGACGACAACACCUCAGAGCUCAACUCCCCGGGACACUUCCACAAAACCCCUGACAGGAGGCACCAAGACAAUGUUCUCGUCACAAAACCAUCGGAAAAAUUCCAAGAUACCCGCGUUAUCCUAAAAAAAAAUUUAGUGAAAUUUGAGAAGAGAAGAGUCAAAACUCUACGUCAGGAUGCCUUACCAGAGCGAUGAGGAGACUGGGAAGUAAAAAGAAUUCCUAAACUCUCCGAUAUAUAAUUCCUAAAUGACUCAAAACAUUUUUCUAGACACAACUCGGCUGCUAAAAACGAUCAAGCAAUAGGGCUCCUAAGGUCGGGGAAGACUCUGAUACCAACUUGAAAUGCCCUCGAUGCGGCUAUAUCUCCCACGUGUCGAAGCACGACUUAGAGGCAUAACCACAUUGAAAGCAAUGUCUCAAGUGAGGUAAUCUUCACACAACCCAUGUAAUACAAUAGGGGAAAAGAGAUACAUAGUUGGCUUACAAUCCCCACUUCACACAAUUACAUGAAUAAAACAUUACAUCAUCCAGAUACAAACAAGGUCCGACUACGGAACCAAAAUAAAAAAAGAACCACAAAUGCGAUAAAGGUCCCCGGUCGACCCCAACUGGGCUCCACUACUGAUCAACUAGAACGAAACAACAUAAAGGACAAGAUCUUCAACGAGCUCCUCCUUGAGCUUGGUUGCGUCAUCUGCGUGGACUCAUCGGCACCUGCAAACUGGUUUUGGAAGUAUCUGUGAGCCAGGGGGACUCGGCAAUCUCGCACCCUCAUGAUCAAGAUUAUUUAAGCUUAUAGGUAAGGCAAGGUAGAAAUGUGGAGCUGCAGCAAGCGACUAGCAAAUAUGGUGGCUAACAUACGCAAAUGAGAGCAAGAAGAGAAGGCAAAGCACGGUCGAUAGAAGUAUGAUCAAGAAGUGAUCCUAGAACAACCUACGUCAAGCAUAACUCCAACACCGUGUUCACUUCCCGGACUCCGCCGGAAAGAGACCAUCACGGUUACACACGCGGUUGACUCAUCUUAAUUAAGUUAAGGUUCAAGUUAUCUACAACCGGACAUUAACAAAUUCCCAUCUGCCCAUAACCGCGGGCACGGCUUUCGAAAGUUCAAAUCCCUGUAGGGGUGUCCCAACUUAGCCCAUGACAAGCUCUCAUGGUCAAUGAAGGAUUAGACCUCCUCCCGAGACAUUCCGAUCAGACUCGGUAUCCCGGUACAACAAGACAUUUCGACAGGGUAAAACUAAACCAGCAACACCGCCCGAAUGUGCCGACAAAUCCCGAUAGGAGCUGCACAUAUCUCUUUCUCAGGGCACACUCAGAUGAGCCAGACGCCGGGUAGGCCAGCCCAGAGUUGCCCCUGGUAGCCUCGGACAUCGCUCAGUUGGACCAACACUCAGAGGAGCACUGGCCCAGGGGGGUAAAAUAAUUAUGACCCUCAGGAGCGCGACUCCCAAGGGAAAAGAAAAGGCUAGGCGGCAAAUGGUAAAACCAAUGUUGGGCAUUGCUGGAAGAGCUUUACUUAAGGCGAACUGUCAAGGGGUUCCCAUUAUUACCCAACCGCGUAAGGAACGCAAAAUCCGGGAACAUAACACCGAUAUGACGGAAACUAGGGCGGCAAGAGUGGAACAAAACACCAGGCACAAGGCCGAGCCUUCCACCCUUUACCAAGUAUAUAGAUGCAUUAAUUAAAUAAGAUAUAAUGUGAUAUCCCAAUAAGUAAACAUGUUCCAACAAGGAACAACAUCUCCAUGUUCCAACAAGGAACAAACUUCAAUCUUCACCUGCAACUAACAACGCUAUAAGAGGGGCUGAGCAAAGCGGUAACAUAGCCAAUCAAUGGUUUGCUAGGACUAGGUGGGUUAGAGGCUUAGUUCAACAAUAUGGGAGGCAUGAUAGGCAAGUGGUAGGUAUCGCAGCAUAGGCAUAGCAAAAGAGCGAGCAACUAAGCAAACAAAGAUAGAAGUGAUUUCGAGGGUAUGAUCAUCUUGCCUGAAAUCCCGCAAGGAAGAAGAACGAGUCCAUGAAGAAGACAAACGGACGUAGAUGAACGGGUCCUCACAAACGUGACGUUAACGGAAACAACCCGAAGAAGCAACACCGGAAAGAAGCACACAACAUAGUAAACAACCACGACAUGAACAUGGCAUGGUGCACAAUCAAGUAUGAUGCAUGUCCGGUUUAAUGAAGCAUGGCAUGGCAAAGUGCAACAAACAACACAACAAAUUAAGUGGAGCUUAAUAUGCAACGAGUUGCAUAUUGACGAAACACCACGACAAGUUAUUUAGUUCGAUCUCGUUUAUGUACCCAACAAUAUUAAAUGUUGUUAAACAAGGCAAGAGGGUGAAGCAAAAGAAAACUACCUAUCUAGGCAAGUUUAAAUGAGGCCGGAAGCAACGAACAACAUUUCCGGUAAAUCCCCAUAUGCCUUAGUAAUUUAUCAACAACAAUUUAAACAUUUUAAUUGUUGUUAUCACGAUGCAGAUGACAUGAACAAGUUUAUGCAAUUUUUAUUAAAAGUUGACAAGAGCAUUAUGAAGCAUUUGUCACCGUGAUGGAAAGGAAAGGGGAAGUGGGGUAAUCCUCACACAACCCAUGUAAUACAUAAGGGAAAGAGAUACAUAGUUGGCUUACAAUCGCCACUUCACACAAUACAUAAAUAAAGCAUUACAUCAUCCAGAUACACUCAAGGUCCGACUACGGAACCAAAAUGAAAGAAGACUACCCUAAAUGCUACACAGAUCCCCGAUCGACCCCAACAGGGCUCCACUACUGAUCAACUAGAACGAAACAAUACAAAGGACAAGAUCUUCAUCGAGCUCCUCCUUGAGCUUGGUUGCGUCACCUGCUCGGUAACAU